GCCUUCGUGGCGUAGUGGUCAUCACGCUCGACGCGUAACCGAGAGGUCCGUGGUUCAAUUCCCGGUGAAGACG
rnacentral:tRNA from 1 species